rnacentral:rRNA from 1 species
CCUACGGGUGGCAGCAGUGGGGAAUUUUCCGCAAUGGGCGAAAGCCUGACGGAGCGACGCCGCGUGCAGGAUGACGGCCUUCGGGUUGUAAACUGCUGUCAGGGGGAACGAUGAUGACGGUACCCCCAGAGGAAGCAUCGGCUAACUACGUGCCAGCAGCCGCGGUAAGACGUAGGAUGCGAGCGUUGUUCGGAUUUAUUGGGCGUAAAGCGUGCGUAGGCGGUUGUUUAAGUCUGGUGUGAAAGCUAGGGGCUCAACCCCUGUGUGGCACUGGAAACUGGGCAACUGGAGAGCGGUAGGGGAAAGUGGAAUUCCGAGUGUAGCGGUGAAAUGCGUAGAUAUUCGGAAGAACACCGGUGGCGAAGGCGACUUUCUGGGCCGUUUCUGACGCUGAGGCACGAAAGCUUGGGGAGCAAACAGGAUUAGAUACCCCGGUAGUC